rnacentral:misc_RNA from 1 species
GCAAACUUGGUCAUUUAGAGGAAGUAAAAGUCGUAACAAGGUUUCCGUAGGUGAACCUGCGGAAGGAUCAUUACCGAGUACCGGGGCCCUCUAGGUCUCUACUCCCACCCCAUGUGUACCUAUUUCAGUUGCUUUGGCGGGUCGCUGGCUUCGACCACCGUCGGCCUCACAGCUGGCGAGAGCCCGCCAGAGGAUCUUUAAAACUCGUUUUACCGGAGGCUCUGAGUGAAUCUUGAAUAGAAUAUACAAAACUUUCAACAACGGAUCUCUUGGUUCUGGCAUCGAUGAAGAACGCAGC